rnacentral:rRNA from 1 species
GACGAACGCUGGCGGCGUGCUUAACACAUGCAAGUCGAACGGAAAGGCCCUGCUUGCAGGGUACUCGAGUGGCGAACGGGUGAGUAACACGUGGGUGAUCUGCCCUGCACUUCGGGAUAAGCUUGGGAAAAUGGGUCUAAUACCGGAUAGGAGCCAUCUUUAGUGUGGUGGUUGGAAAGUUUUUUCGGUGUAGGAUGAGCUCGCGGCCUAUCAGCUUGUUGGUGGGGUAAUGGCCUACCAAGGCGGCGACGGGUAGCCGGCCUGAGAGGGUGUACGGCCACAUUGGGACUGAGAUACGGCCCAGACUCCUACGGGAGGCAGCAGUGGUGAAUAUUGCACAAUGGGCGCAAGCCUGAUGCAGCGACGCCGCGUGGGGGAUGAAGGCCUUCGGGUUGUAAACUCCUUUCGCUAGGGACGAAGCUUUUUUGUGACGGUACCUAGAUAAGAAGCACCGGCUAACUACGUG